rnacentral:lncRNA from 1 species
AUGAUGAAACAGAUUUAUGCUCUGUUUUUCUCUGUAUUUCUCAAAAUCUUCAUAAAGAAUGUUAAAGAUGGCCAAGUUAAAUAUUAUUUCUCGAGCUUUGAUAAUCCUUUACGUGGAUUCAUUUCCAUCAUAGAAAUGGAGAGGCAAGAUGCUGGGGAACCAGAAAGCCCUGAAGGAAGACAGGCUCUCCAGUCCUGUGAGGUCCUUGGUCACACAGAGCUGCAAUUGGAGCUGCUAAGGUUCUCUGAAGCAUGA